rnacentral:lncRNA from 13 species
GAGCGCAGGGCGCUGGGCCAGGGCCCGCCUCCAGAGGGCGGUGUGAGUCCUUGGCGCUGGAGCACCUGCGUUUCGGGGACCCGGGCAGGUGUAGGGGUCUGCGUUCGGCUCCAGGCCUCCUGCAGCUGUCUCUUAACUUCCUCAAAAGACAUCAGUCCUGGCUGCCCUCCAGAAGAGCCAUCCCAAGACAUUAUCUAGGCAUCAGUGUCUUCACCAGGGCAACACGGAACAUCUCCACUGAAUACCUGGUGGCUGCAGCGGCUGAUGUGAGAUGUGUGCCUGCUUUCCAUCAGAUUCCCAAAGCAGAGCCCCUGGAGGCUUUGGCCCAUGCCCCUGAGGCUCCCUUUCAUGAGGAAGAAAUUCUUUGGAAAGCCAACACCACUACUGGAGAGAAAGUAGGGGUUGUGUUAUAGAAGUACUGUCUUUAUUUUGGGAGGCUGAGGUGGUGGAUCAUGAGGUCAA